rnacentral:rRNA from 1 species
UACAGAGGGUGCAAGCGUUAAUCGGAAUUACUGGGCGUAAAGCGUGCGUAGACGGUUACAUAAGUCGGGUGUGAAAGCCCCGGGCUCAACCUGGGAAUUGCAUUCGAGACUGCGUAGCUAGGGUGCGGAAGAGGGAAGCGGAAUUUCCGGUGUAGCGGUGAAAUGCGUAGAUAUCGGAAGGAACACCAGUGGCGAAAGCGGCUUCCUGGUUCAGCACCGACGUUCAGGCACGAAAGCGUGGG